GCCUUCUCCACCUAUAUCUCUAGACUUUUCCGUCACUUGCAUGCAAACCAUUCUCAGAAUUGAACCACAGAUUACACCCACUAAUCUCAUCUGCAUCCACCCAAAACCCAAAUCACCUUUCUUACCCAGCCUUGCUAAAGAAUGGAGAAACCAACCAUGGCAACGGGUUAGAAGCCACUGAAGCCCCAUCUCCUUCUGUUGCUAGUACAGAAGCUUGGCUUUGGAAAUUAGACUGAAAUUGGCUCACUUUUAAGGUUUGGAAUUUGGGAAAAGUAAAAGUUUGGAGCUGGAGUUAAUCGAAAGUCUUUGUCAGCUGAAAGGUGGAAUUGUGCAAUACAUAAAUUGAGGGAGAAGGUUUCUGGGUGAAGGUAGUUGUUGACGGCAACUGACCAAAUUGAGGAUUUCCAGUUACCCAAGGCUUGAGCAACAAAGGUGGAAGCUCGGAGAUUUCUUGAGCGUGGAUUCCAGGAACUGAGCAGGAGCCAGCUGAGGACCAGACUUAGACACUUGGGUGUUGGCAUCGUCAAGUUGUGAAUAGUUUCUUUUGGACUUGACUGUUGGUUUGGCAGGUGUUGAUCAAUCUCCCUCCUUUUGAAAUUGUGAAUGUGACUUUGUUUUGUUGUGGGAACCUUUGUAAAUUUGUUAUUAUCCGCCUGCCUAUCUUUUGGUGUGUGUUACUUAGCGUGAAUUUGAAACCCGAAUUUUGGACUCGUGACUUUUGUGGAAUGUAAAUAAAGUACUCUUUUGUUGUAAAAUCUUUACGCUUCCGAAUCGUA